GUGCCAGCCGCCGCGGUAAUACGGAGGGUGCAAGCGUUGUCCGGAAUCAUUGGGUGUAAAGGGUGCGUAGGCGGGAGCCUAAGUCUGUGGUGAAAUCUUGCCGCUUAACGGUAAAAUUGCCAUGGAUACUGGGUUUCUUGAGUACAGAAGAGGUCGGUGGAAUUCGUAGUGUAGCGGUGAAAUGCAUAGAUAUUACGAAGAACACCAGUGGCGAAGGCGGCCGGCUGGACUGUAACUGACGCUAAGGCACGAAAGCGUGGGGAGCGAACAGGAUUAGAUACCCCUGUAGUCC
rnacentral:rRNA from 1 species